GCCGGGGAGGGGCGGGCACGGUGCAGCGCCGCCUCCCGUUCGCCUCUGCGCCUGGCCCGGCGACUGCGGGCGCUGCGGUCCACUGGGUCCGCCUCUUCCCGGCAUGGGUUUCUGCCCAGCUCACCCGCUGUCAGCUGGGGUCCUGCUCUGGUGGGAGGAAGAGGCUCAGACGCUUCCCUGCCCUCUCGCCUCAACCACCUCGAGGCAGCGGCUCCCAGGAUGUGCACUUUGACGACUAAAGCUGAGCCGGCGCCGCCACGACCUUGGGCGGGUGGUCGGCCUCUGCCCUGAGCAGGAAGUAGAAAGUCUCAGCAGACCCUUCCUGAGGGCCGAGCAACAGUGUAGUGGCGUAUUCCACAUAGCAAACAGGUCCCCAGACAAUCCCGGUGUGCACACUUCCCUGCUUCUGUUCAUGAUGUUCUCUGAACCUGGGAUCACCUUUCCCCUUCCUCUUACCUGCCUGAUCCUACUUGUCCUCCCAGAUUCAGUUUUCUGAAGCUCAGAGGGACACCUUGUAUUGCUGGAUGAUAAAAACAGGAGCAAAGUGAUGAAAUGCUGACAAGGCAACAAUAGAACAUGAGAGAUUCACUGCUGUGUAGGAAGAGAUCUUCAGUGACCAUGUAGCCUGAAGCUCUCAUUUUGUCAUCGAGGGACACCAAAACUCAGAACAGGUGUUGUUCCUGAGCACUGGCUUCAAAAACCUUGCUGCUCAUUUAUCUUGUCUCACGGUGGUCUCCCAGGGAACCAACCAAAGAGGAGGAGGAGGAGAAUAGUGGUGGGGGUGGGUUGUUGACGUCUGACUUCAGAGAUUUUUUCUUUCAUCACACAAUAAAAUUAAUAAAAUAAAAAGACAAGGAUUCGGGAUGCCCUCGGAGUUCAUCCAUCAUAUUUUCAAAAGGAAAUUUCAAGCCAGCAAUCUUCCCAUCAGCUUCCAGGAGUAUUUUCUAGAAUAGUUGAAGGGUGGUUUUGCCUAAAACCUGGGGGUUGGCAUAGGUGGCCUUUCAAGGAGGCUUCUAGCUUCAAGUUUCUGUCAAUUAUGCUUUGCAUAUCUAAGAGCUGUUUGGGCUGGAGAAUUCAAAGAAAUUUUCAAUGUGCCAGGGUUGAGAUUCAGCGUCUUUUUGCUGAGUGGGCAUUGAUGAGAAAUGCCUCUGAACUCGCAGGGGUGAUGCAGCCCCCUGGCCAGCCUGCCAACUCUACAUACUCUCAUUGCUCCAACG
rnacentral:lncRNA from 1 species